AUUGAACGCUGGCGGCAUGCUUUACACAUGCAAGUCGAACGGUAACAGGGUGCUUGCACCGCUGACGAGUGGCGAACGGGUGAGUAAUGCGUCGGAACGUGCCGAGUAGUGGGGGAUAACGCAUCGAAAGGUGUGCUAAUACCGCAUACGUACUGAGGUAGAAAGUGGGGGACCUUCGGGCCUCACGCUAUUCGAGCGGCCGACGUCUGAUUAGCUAGUUGGGGAGGUAAAGGCUCACCAAGGCGACGAUCAGUAGCGGGUCUGAGAGGAUGAUCCGCCACACUGGGACUGAGACACGGCCCAGACUCCUACGGGGGGCAGCAGUGGGGAAUUUUGGACAAUGGGCGCAAGCCUGAUCCAGCCAUGCCGCGUGUCUGAAGAAGGCCUUCGGGUUGUAAAGGACUUUUGUCUGGGAGCAAAUACCCAGUGCUAAUAACACUGGGGGCUGAGAGUACCGGAAGAAUAAGCACCGGCUAACUACGUGCCAGCCGCCGCCGUAAAAC
rnacentral:rRNA from 1 species